rnacentral:rRNA from 1 species
UACGUAGGGGGCAAGCGUUGUCCGGAUUUAUUGGGCGUAAAGCGCGUGUAGGCGGCCAGAUAGGUCUGCUGUGAAAACUCGAGGCUCAACCUCGAGCUGUCGGCGGAAACCAUCUGGCUAGAGUCCGGAAGAGGAGAGUGGAAUUCCUGGUGUAGCGGUGAAAUGCGCAGAUAUCAGGAAGAACACCUAUGGCGAAGGCAGUGUCCUGGCGAGUGACUGACGCUGAGGUGCGAAAGCCAGGGGAGCGAACGGG